rnacentral:rRNA from 1 species
CCCUUAGAUGCUCUGGGCCGCACGCGCGCUACACUGGUCGAUGCAACGAGUUUCUUUCCUUGGCCGACAGGCCUGGGCAAUCUUUGAACAUCGAUCGUGAUCGGGAUAGAUUCUUGUAAUUUUUGAUCUUAAACGAGGAAUUCCUAGUAAACGCAAGUCAUCAGCUUGCAUUGAUUACGUCCCUGCCCUUUGUACACACCGCCCGUCGCACCUACCGAUUGGAUGGUCCGGUGAGGCCUCGGGAUUGUGGCCGGUGCAUUCAUUUGUGUCGGUUGCGAGAACUUGUCCAAACCUUAUCAUCUAGAGGAAGGUGAAGUCGUAACA